GCACUGCUGAGGAGUUCUACAAUAGAACGAAACAGCUGUUCAGUGC
rnacentral:hammerhead_ribozyme from 1 species